rnacentral:tRNA from 1 species
GGGGCCGUAGCUCAGCUGGGAGAGCGCAGCAUUCGCAUUGCUGAGGCCAGGGGUUCGAUCCCCCUCGGCUCCACCA